UACGUAGGUCCCGAGCGUUGUCCGGAUUUAUUGGGCGUAAAGCGUGCGCAGGUGGUUUAUUAAGUCUGGUGUAAAAGGCAGUGGCUCAACCAUUGUAUGCAUCGGAAACUGGUAGACUUGAGUGCAGGAGAGGAGAGUGGAAUUCCAUGUGUAGCGGUGAAAUGCGUAGAUAUAUGGAGGAACACCGGUGGCGAAAGCGGCUCUCUGGCCUGUAACUGAUACUGAGGCUCGAAAGCGUGGGGAGCAAACAGG
rnacentral:rRNA from 1 species